GCCAGACUCCUACGGGAGGCAGCAGUGAGGAAUAUUGGCCAAUGGGCUUACGCCUGAACCAGCCAAGUCGCGUGAGGGAAGACUGCCCUAUGGGUUGUAAACCUCUUUUGUCAGGGAGCAACGCCGGCUACGUGUAGCCGGACUGAGAGUACCUGAAGAAAAAGCAUCGGCUAACUCCGUGCCAGCAGCCGCGGUAAUACGGAGGAUGCGAGCGUUAUCCGGAUUUAUUGGGUUUAAAGGGUGCGUAGGCGGAAUGCCAAGUCAGCGGUAAAAUCGCGGGGCUCAACCUCGCCGAGCCGUUGAAACUGCUCUUCUAGAGUGGGCGAGAAGUAUGCGGAAUGCGUGGUGUAGCGGUGAAAUGCGUAGAUAUCACGCAGAACUCCGAUUGCGAAGGCAGCAUACCGGCGCCCAACUGACGCUCAUGCACGAAAGCGUGGGUAUCGAACAGGAUUAGAUACCCUAGUAC
rnacentral:rRNA from 1 species